rnacentral:lncRNA from 1 species
UUGACCGUACUUGUUGAACAUCAAUCUCCUUUCAACUACAGAGAUACAACUCCUUAGCUCCAUACCAGCCUCUCUCCUUGCUGCAGGGAAUCUCUUCAAGAAAAUCUGAGGAAGGUUGUUUCUAUUGUUGCUGCCUGUCCUUGAAUUAAGUCAUUGGGCAUAAGUCAAUGCUGCUCAUGUCUCUCCUGGCCUUACUGCAAUACUGAAAGCUGACAUCUACCCUCUGGCCUCCAUAUGCCAUGGAAAAUGUUGUGGCAUUGAUCUUUUUGUUGCUGCUGUUCUUACAGACCAAGUGAUGAUGCUAUGGAUGGUUGUGUCCAUUUCAGUUUCUAAUAUGCAUCUUAUGAGCCCCAGUUGCAGCGCUUGAUGAUACCAUUUAGGUGGGCUACCUGUGUGAUCUCCACAUUUGAUGGAUUUAUCCAUCAUAACAUGUCCUCUGCUGUAUACCGUUCCUUUUCUCUACUGAGUAUGUGUUUUGUGUCCUUUUCAACUGCUGCAUUGAAGUGGUUGCUGGUUUUGUGUCCGAUUAAUUAAGCCUGCCAGCAUAUAACCAAAAACUUCCCUACAUGAUUUAGUCUGCUCUCUGAUACUAAUAGCCUCUUUAUUUACUACUUCAAUUGCUGGAUUUAUUUGUAUUCUUAUUACACCAGACCUGAGAAAACUCGAGAGGACAAAUACACCAAACACUUGAACACCCAGAAGUAUUGUUAAGGUAACCAAAAAGCCAGAUGCUAGUGCUGAAACUGGUAGUUUGUGCAUUGUGACCUCGAGCAUCAGGAAAUUAUUCGUACUGUGUAGCAAUUCGUGAAGUUUAUUGCUCUAUUUUGUAGUUGUUACUAGCAAUAAGUUACUGGUUUGAGAUGCUCUAUUUAAUAGUCCUGUUUUGUAGUUGUUGGCCAUAACAGUGAAACUGAGAAUAUUAGCAUUGACUGGGACUCCAGGAUGUAAGUUACAGACAAUCUUAUUGGGUUCGUUGUAAAUGUAGCCAUGACAUCUGAAAAUUCUUAUGUUAAAUGCAAAUUGUUCAGAAAAACAGCCGGCUGUCCAGCAUAUCUUUGAUGAAUUUCUAAUGAAUUGCUAGGUUUGCAAUCUCCAAUUUUAUGCCUUGUAUUUCAUUACACUUGAAAGUUUAAUUAUCUUCUGGUGAAUACAAUCGCCAAAUAUGUGGUAGCAGAAACUAAGGAUCCACAAAACUCAAGGACUAUAAUUUUCUCCAAUUUUAGAGAAGUGCAAGGUGAAAAGAUUUUCUUGUGUUCAUUUUUGCUGUAUUGCUAUAGUCUAUAUUUCUCAAUCUUUUGUUGCAUAUUCCUAGUGCUAGAAAAAUUUUCUUGACAUACGGAAGCAAGCAAACAGCAGGGCAAUAAAGAAGCACAUGCAUAAUGGAGGGAUAAAUAGCUUUAGUUUCCAUUGUAGCUCAAGAAUGGUGAGACCUGUUGGAAAGUUCUCUGGUUGUAUCCCUUCUUGUUAAUACUUUUAUCUUCUUAACCUAUAGUUCUGUUACAUUUAUUUCAGAUUCCUCAUAUUUUUAAACCAGAAGUCCAAUUUGUUGAGCUGUCAAUUGAACAAUAUGUUCCUCGUGGAGAGAAAGUGAAGGAUGAUAAUACCAUUCAGACACCAGUUUUCAAAGAAAAUCUAACUGUUACAGAGACUGCUUUACUUGCUAUCCCUAUGUGGAUGUACAUACAUUCAAGACAGUGAACCAGGCUUGCCCAUAGCUUUUUGCCCUUUUUGUCCUUAAGGAAUUAAGUCAUUUUAUCUUGUUUGGUUAUUAUCCCAGAAAACUAAUUUGUGUCUAGAGAGAAUAUACAUAUUUUCAAAAAUAAAAGCUAUAAAAAUAACCUGGCCCUUUUGUCUUCCCUUUUCAUUUUUCAAAAAUAAAAGCUAUGAAUGUAAUUCUGCAAUAUCUAGAUCCUCGCUCCUCAAGAGAAAACAUUGGAUCUGAUAUGGAAACAAUUAUCUGUCAAAAGAUGAAUCUGACCUGACAAGGAGGCCGGCUUCGAUAAUUUGAAAGCAAAGAACAGAACAUGGGAAAUCGGUAAGAUUGUGCCGGUAAGUGACUCAAGACAUCAUCUCUGCGAGCUGAUGAGUUCAGUAACGAUUUCGAAGAUUUUGAGCUAACCCCUCGAUUAACUAAUUGUUCCCGAGCCUCCGAUCAACGACGACGUUCAAUAUCCAUCCAAGAACAAUCCUUGUAACUCAAGCCUCAAACUAUGCGUACUGUUGUGGAG